GUUUGAGGUGGGAGCUGCUGUCGGUUGAACAGGUUUGUCUGCAGGAAGUGGCAUUUCCUCCUCAGCUCUCAUCUCGCUUCCUCUCCUGACACCGCAGACAGGCUGCUGUGAUGCUACGUGACAGCCUGACAGUCACAGCCACCUCUGGGGCCUUUGAGACGUGGAAUUAAUGACAGUUCAGUGCUACUGGCGGCAGUCUCCAUUAUGGCAUGGCUUUGCAUGGUCUGAGGAAUCUAGGAAUGAGACAGUGGGCUCCUGGCCUACUUGAGGCUCUCGGAAGCCUCCUGUCAUUUCACUGAGACCUCAUUUUCUGCAGACAGAUGUUUUUGUGGAUGACUGAGGCAAAACCCAGCUGGCUGACUCACAGGGCCUCAGGAGCAUCUGGCUGUGCUGCUCUGCUCUCUGGUAGAUGGAGUGCCUCGUCUUCAGCUUGAGGCCUCUGGACUGUAACACUUAGCAGGUGCUGAGGGGUGAAAAGCCGAGGAUGGGGCCACACUCCAAAAUGUGAUGUGAUACACAGACAGCAAGGAGGCCCCUGAGGAGCAGCAUCUCCGCGCUGAGCCCCGCUGGGAGCGCACACUGCAGGCACUGCCUGACUCAGAGCGGGAUGUCAUGACCGGGGGACGACCCGGUGCCCUGACCUACUGAAAGUUCAGCGCCGUGUCACCAGCCUCAGCAGUUUCACUCGCCGGCCCUGCAUGAGAAUUUCCCACUGUGCUUCUGCUGAGUGAGGGCGCAGCACUCACCUGUGUGCUGAAACAUGGACGUCCCUCUUUGCUGUCCACUGCUCACAGCCACCAGGAAUUCCGCGGCUGAAGCUUGCACAGCUGUUUUUAAGGAGGACAGCAUUUCGGGAGCAGGGGCGCUUAGACAAGGAGGUGAUGUAGCAUACAGCACAGCAAGCCAAGAGAGAGAUGGAGGACAAGAAAGAUUUGCAGUGGUGCCUGGCAAAGCGUUUCGGCUGUGAGGAGAGAAAUCAAAUCAACAUUCGGGUGACAGAUUAACCUGCUGGUAAGAGGUCAACCUUCCUAACUACAGCCUGAUGGCCUUGUUUUCCUUAGCCAUGCGCUUUAACUGAGAUUAAAAGCAUCCCCUAGUAAGACUGAA